UCAGACAAAUAGUUUAACUGAGCAUUUUUUUAUUUUAUCACUUCAAGUGGCUUUAAAUAAGUCCAGUAAACACCUGUGUACAACAGACCAUAUGCAUAAGUUGCAUUUGCCGAUGACAUGGCAAAUGAACUAAUCGAACAAUGACAUGUGUAAAUUGUAAUUUUUCCAUAAGAAUUUGACACAUGUAAUUAACAAGAAAAAUACAAUUAAAGAAGAAAAGAAACUUUUUCUCCUAAACUAGUGCUUCCCCGAUCCCCUAAAUCUUCUUCCAAGGUUUCCCAAAGCCUCCCCUUACUCGUUGAACCCGUGACCACCAUUUCAUCUGCAAAAAAAAUUGGGGAAAGAAAAAUUUAAAAUGAAGCUUGAAAGUUCUAAUAGCCAAAAAUAAGAUAGUGGAUUUCAUAAGAAUCCAAAAUUUCGGUGGGUUCAUCAUCUUUUUCCUUUUUUCAAGUUCCAAAUACAUAUGCCUUCCUCUAUAUUCAUUUUUGGCAAUUCCCAUCCGAAAAAGAUAGUAGGUACCAGAUCUGGAGCGGGAGUGAAGGCUGACGGUCGUCACCAUUUUUCGGCCUAGUCAACUGAGAAGGUUUUCCGGCGAGUUUGUUUGUUCUAUGAUUCUAGCAUAUUGUUGGUCUUGGGCUAUCGGCGAUAAUAGUUUGAAAAAUUUACAGAAAAAAGAAAAGGGAGAAGGGUCGCCAAUUGGUCGGCCCGUGGGAUUUUUGGCUCAUUGAUUGGCCAGUGAAAAGGCCAGAAAGAGAACGGGGGUCGUCACCAUGUCUUUAUUAAUUCUUGUUUUUUAUCUAUGGUCCAACAAUGUUUACUAAUUUUUUGUCAGAGAGUGGCGGGGUCUGGCAUUGGCUUACUUUGGUUAUUCUUUUAUGGUGAAAAUUAUUUUGAAGAAAGGGAAGUAAAGAUGAAGGUAGUGGGUUCUUAAAAAUAAAGGUCACUUUUUUAAGCUGAAAA
rnacentral:lncRNA from 1 species